rnacentral:rRNA from 1 species
AGAGUUUGAUCAUGGCUCAGGAUCAACGCUGGCGGCGUGCCUAGUGCAUGCAAGUCGAACGGGUCGUCCUUCGGGGCGGUCACGUGGCGGACGGGUGAGGAACACGUGGGCAAUCUGCCCUGAGGCAGGGGCUAGCCUCCGGAAACGGAGGGUAAUUCCGUAUGAACUCGGGUCUCGAGUGGGGGAUCUGAGGAAAGGGGCAACCCGCCUUGGAUGGGCCCGCGGCCUAUCAGCUAGUUGGUGAGGUAACGGCUCACCAAGGCGAUGACGGGUAGCUGGUCUGAGAGGACGACCAGCCACACUGGAACUGAGACACGGUCCAGACACCUACGGGUGGCAGCAGUCGAGAAUUUUUCGCAAUGGGGGAAACCCUGACGGAGCGACGCCGCGUGGAGGAUGAAGGUCUUCGGAUUGUAAACUCCUGUCAUUGGUGAACAAGGGGCUUCGCUUAACUGGCGAGGUCAUUGCUAGUAGCCGAAGAGGAAGGGACGGCUAACUCUGUGCCAGCAGCCGCGGUAAUACAGAGGUCCCGAGCGUUGUUCGGAUUCAUUGGGCGUAAAGGGUGCGUAGGCGGCUUGCUAAGUCUGAUGUGAAAUCCUGGGGCUCAACCCUGGAACUGCACUGGAUACUGGUGAGCUAGAGUACUGGAGAGGAAACUGGAAUUUACGGUGUAGCAGUGAAAUGCGUAGAGAUCGUAAGGAAGACCAGUGGCGAAGGCGAGUUUCUGGACAGUGACUGACGCUGAGGCACGAAGGCUAGGGGAGCAAACGGGAUUAGAUACCCCCGUAGUCC